GGGCCCGUAGCUCAGCCAGGUUAGAGCGGCAGGCUCAUAACCUGACGGUCCCCGGUUCGAAUCCGGGCGGGCCCACCA
rnacentral:tRNA from 1 species